rnacentral:rRNA from 1 species
AGGGUGCAAGCGUUAUCCGGAUUUACUGGGUUUAAAGGGUGCGUAGGCGGGCCAUUAAGUCAGUGGUGAAAGCUCCGAGCUUAACUCGGAAACUGCCAUUGAUACUAUUGGUCUUGAAUUCGGUCGAGGUUGGCGGAAUGUGUCGUGUAGCGGUGAAAUGCUUAGAUAUGACACAGAACACCGAUUGCGAAGGCAGCUAGCUAGACCGACAUUGACGCUGAGGCACGAAAGCGUGGUGAUCAAACAGG